UUUUGGUUUUUACUUUCUUUAAAUAAGGAUUAUUGGGGUCAAGCAAAGAAAGACUGAUUAAAAAAAAACAGCAUUUAUAACAAACUUUAGAAAAUAUGAAAAAUACAGAAGCACAGAGAACACAAAAAUGGCCCAUAAUUUCCAUCAUCAACAAAUAAUAUGCACAUUUUGGUGGGUAUAUAUCUUUCUGGUCUAAAUAAAUUAUUAGUGCAUUAUUUGAUUGAGAGAGUGUUUCUAUGUCACCUAGAGAAUUCUCUCUCUAUGACAUCAAAGCAAUCAGAGUAGGCAAAAUUUAUCUCCUUUGCUGAACACCUCAAAGAAGUCAAGAUCUGAUCCCAUAGGAUACAGAAUUGUCUCAAUGACUUGGUAAAACUUGCUCCUGAAGAAAGCCUUUGAGAAGUUACAUCCAAAACCUGGAUUAAGAAAAUACAAGGCUUUUUGGGAUAGGAUCUCAAGAAACCAACUCAGCUUUCUAGAAGAAAUUCAACUCCUUCCAAAUGCUUGUUAAUGCAUGCUAAAUGCAGCAAGAAAUAAUCCUACGAGGCAGCAGCACAGGCCUCUCUUAGCUGCAGUGAAUGAAGUAAAUGACUUGUAACUUCUGGAAGUCUUGGUUAUCUGCAGGAAUUGUGCCUGGCACUGUGCAGCUGUGGUGUUGCCUUCAUCACUCCCUCUGUUUCCAGUCUUGCUAAUUAAAAGGUUG